AGUGAACGCUGGCGGUAGGCCUAACACAUGCAAGUCGAACGGCAGCACAGUAAGAGCUUGCUCUUACGGGUGGCGAGUGGCGGACGGGUGAGGAAUACAUCGGAAUCUACUUUGUCGUGGGGGAUAACGUAGGGAAACUUACGCUAAUACCGCAUACGACCUACGGGUGAAAGCAGGGGAUCUUCGGACCUUGCGCGAUUGAAUGAGCCGGUGUCGGAUUAGCUAGUUGGCGGGGUAAAGGCCCACCAAGGCGACGAUCCGUAGCUGGUCUGAGAGGAUGAUCAGCCACACUGGCACUGAGACACGGUCCAGACUCCUACGGGAGGCAGCAGUGGGGAAUAUUGGACAAUGGGCGCAAGCCUGAUCCAGCCAUACCGCGUGGGUGAAGAAGGUCUUCGGGUUGUAAAGCCCUUUUGUUGGGAAAGAAAAGCAGCAGGUUAAUACCCCGCUGUUCUGACGGUACCCAAAGAAUAAGCACCGGCUAACUUCGUG
rnacentral:rRNA from 1 species